rnacentral:tRNA from 1 species
GGGGGCAUAGCUCAGUGGUUAGAGCAGGCGGCUCAUAACCGCUUGGUCCCUGGUUCGAGCCCAGGUGCCCCCACCA